GUAUAAUACUAUAGUGCUGUUCUUUGUAUAAUACAGAUCUGUGUGUGUAUAAUAUCCCGGGAUAAUCAGUGCUUCCUGUAUAGUGCUGCUCUUUGUAUAAAACAGAUCUGUGUCUGUAUAAUAUCCUGGAACAGUCAGUGCUCCCUGUAUAGUGCUGCUCUCUGUCUUGGGAUAUUAUACACAAACAGACCUGUAUUAUACAG